rnacentral:rRNA from 1 species
AUCCGAGUGGUUUCUGCUAAAGAACCUUUUGCUAGUCCUAGAAACACUAGUGAAUAAGGGGUGGGCAAGUUCUGGUGUCAGCCGCCGCUGUAAAACCAGCACCUCAAGUGGUCAGGAUGAUUAUUGGGCCUAAAGCAUCCGUAGCUCGUUUUGUAAGUUUUCGGUUAAAUCCAUACGCUUAACGUAUGGGCUGCCGGGAAUACUGCAUAACUAGGAAGUGGGAGAGGUAGACGGUACUCGGUAGGAAGGGGUAAAAUCCUUUGAUCUAUUGAUGACCACCUGUGGCGAAGGCGGUCUACCAGAACACGUUCGACGGUGAGGGAUGAAAGCUGGGGGAGCAAACCGGAUUAGAUACCCGGGUAGUCCCAGCUGUAAACUAUGCAAACUCAGUGAUGCAUUGGCUUGUGGCCAAUGCGGUGCUGCAGGGAAGCCGUUAAGUUUGCCGCCUGGGAAGUACGUACGCAAGUAUGAAACUUAA